rnacentral:tRNA from 1 species
GAGGGCGCAGCUCAGUGGUAGAGCACCUGCUUAGCAUGCACAGGGUCCUGGGUUCAAUCCCCAGGACCUCU